rnacentral:rRNA from 1 species
UACGUAGGUGGCAAGCGUUGUCCGGAAUUAUUGGGCGUAAAGGGCUCGUAGGCGGUCCGUCACGUCGGGAGUGAAAACUUGGGCUUAACCCCAAGCCUGCUUCCGAUACGGGCGGACUAGAGGUAGGCAGGGGAGAACGGAAUUCCUGGUGUAGCGGUGAAAUGCGCAGAUAUCAGGAAGAACACCCGUGGCUAAGGCGGCUCUCUAGUACGGUACUGACGCUGAGACGCGAAAGCGUGGGGGAGCGAACAGG